AUGUCAAGGCUCUGCCUAUCCGUGGGCUCAUCAGGAUCUGGCCUAACUCCAACCAACUCUGCACAUCUGGUGGCCUUGAAUAAAGAUGAAGUUUCACCAUGUUGCCCAGGAUGGUCUCACACUCCUGAGCUCAAGGAUCCAUUUGCCUUGGCCUCCCAAAGUGCUGGGAUUAUAGGCUUGAGCCACUGUGCUGGGGAAUCUCAUGUUUUCUCUAAUUGAUCAUAUUCCCUUAUGUACCUUUGUCAUCUCUAAAUAGAACAUACUAGCCCUUCAAUUGUCUCUUACUACUGAGGUCUAUAAUAUCUUUCCCACAGUCAAACUACAUUAACCCACUUCAGUUUUAGCUCAACCAGUCAACCCCAUAAGAACUGUCACGGAGGCGUUAAAGAGGACGAUCUGGUGUUUAGGAUAGCAGAAAAACUUCACAGCUAUGGAUGGUUUUAGGACAACUUGUGAAUACAAUUGCAAGAUGGUUCAGAAUAGACACAGUUAAAUAUUAUUCAUGCCACUAUAUUUUCCUCACAAUUUUUUGAUGCUGAUUAAACAUAUGAGCCUUAUUUACCAGAAUUCCCUCAGAGUCCAUGAAACAAAUUUUCUGUUGCUGAUUAGGUGGUUUAUUUUGAAUUACUGCUGGCAAGGUUUGGAGGUAUGAUUACUCUUCUUUGAAUCUUGAGCGGAUGAAAGAUUGCCAAGUUGAGCUUUUUUUUUAAAAAAAAAAUAAAGUUUGUAUCAUGAAAAACUGUAGUGGUAUUAAAAGCUUAAUAUGCUAAGAUCUGUAAUAGCUGGAUGCCUUUUUAUUAUAAACAAUAUUAUAAAACAACCUUAGAGCUUUGUGUAUUAUUUACACAAACACAUAGUUUCAUUUAUUUUAGUAUUUAUUCUUGUGUCUUCUUCUUUUUUUUUUUUUUUUUAGCUUUGGGGGAAAAAUGUGAGACAAGAAUUUAUUGACUCAUGAGGCUGGAAGUCCAAGAGUUAAACUAGUGGCUCGAGGUGCUAAAGGUGUGUAUCCAGAGCCCUCUCUCUAUGACUCUGCACUCCAGUACAGUCUUAAUUAGAAGCUGGUAGUGGGUGGGCGCAGUGGCUCACACCUGUAAUUCCAGCACUUUGAGAUGCUGAGGUGGGUGGAUCACCUGAGGUUGGGAGUUCGAGACCAGCCUGAACAUGGAGAAACCCCGUCUCUACUAAAAAUACAAAAAUAGGCUUGGUGGCAGAUGCCUGUAAUCCCAACUACUUGGAAGACUGAAGGAGGAGAAUGGCUUGAACUCAGAAGGCAGAGAUUGGAGUGAGCCAAGAUUAUACCAUUGCAGUCCAGCCUGGGAAACAAGAGCAAAACUCUGUCUCGAAAAAAAAAAAAAAAAGAAAGAAAGAAAAAAAAAAAAAGAAGACCA
rnacentral:lncRNA from 1 species